rnacentral:lncRNA from 1 species
AUGUUGGGGUUAAUGAUUCAGAUGGUGACAGGAAACCAGCAGCUGGCUAACGAUCCUCUCCUCGGAGGAACCGGCACUCGGAGGCGCGUGAGGAGCUGGGACGCAUGGGGACGGCCGGCUGAGGCUGCAGGCUGGACACCGCGGAGUCAUGGCACAGCUGGAGCUGCUGUGGGCGGCUGCCGCACUGAUGCUGCUCGGGGCGGCCGUCAGCGCCUGCGUCAGGUGCCAGCUCUCCGGUACAAAGCGAGAGAAGAAGCAGAACAAGCAGACAAAUCAGCUCGGAAGCCAGCAGACCUUUGAGGUGAUUCGGUCCCACUCCAUGCUAGCUGUAACGCGAAGGCUAGACCAGAUUAAGGAACCUGAAAACUUCACAAUAACAAGGUAGGUAACAAAAAAACACACAACAAGGCAUAACCUAGCUGUAGAGGCAAGCUUGGAUGAAGUUUACCCAACGUAUGAGAAUGCCGAGGAUUUGGGACUGGGUGCCGUGCCUUGUAAGUGAGGCUUGGGUUGUGCUUGCUGGUCAGUCGUGGGUUUAGUCUUUUUCUGGAUUUUCUUCAGCCCACCUGCAUCUUACUCGUAGUAUUGAAGUCAAACCCAAGGAAACGGGCCGUGGUAGUCUGUAACAGGUACACCACAAAAAAGAACCUGCUGUUCUUUGCUUCGAAGCAGUUUGACAUAAGAGAUCCCCUCCUGCCCACCACCAGUGCCCCAGGAAGCAGGGCAGCAAUUGCUGCACUACCCAGGCGUGGUCAUCCCCACCUUGGGGUUUCACCCCAAACCCGCCAGCUCGAUGCAUUUCCUGUUGCAAACAGACAAGGGGGUUUCACGGACAGAGGUUUUCCUGCGGUUUGCUCAGAGCUGAGGAUUUAGCUCCCUUCUCCUGCAAGCCCCAGCUACAAACAACGCAUUAGCCCAGCGGCACCUGCAGACUCACACAGUGCUC